UACGUAGGUGGCAAGCGUUGUUCGGAAUUACUGGGCGUAAAGCGCGUGUAGGCGGCUCUUCAAGUCAGACGUGAAAGCCCCGGGCUUAACUCGGGAACUGCGUUUGAUACUGUCGAGCUAGAGUGUGGAAGGGGCGAUUGGAAUUCCGUGUGUAGCGGUGAAAUGCGUAGAUAUACGGAGGAACACCAGAGGCGAAGGCGGCUCACUGGCCCGGUACUGACGCUGAGGUGCGAAAGCGUGGGGAGCAAACAGG
rnacentral:rRNA from 1 species